CAGCAGCCGCGGGAAUACGAAGGGGGCUAGCGUUGCUCGGAAUUACUGGGCGUAAAGGGAGCGUAGGCGGACAUUUAAGUCAGGGGUGAAAUCCCAGAGCUCAACUCUGGAACUGCCUUUGAUACUGGGUGUCUUGAGUGUGAUAGAGGUAUGUGGAACUCCGAGUGUAGAGGUGAAAUUCGUAGAUAUUCGGAAGAACACCAGUGGCGAAGGCGACAUACUGGGUCAUUACUGACGCUGAGGCUCGAAAGCGUGGGGAGCAAACAGGAUUAGAUACCCCUGUAGUCCCUGUCUCUUAUAC
rnacentral:rRNA from 1 species